CUUCGUCGCUAGAUGGAGUGGAGUCAAUCUUGAAAUACCACCCUUGUAGUUUUGAUGUUCUAACCGCGGCCCCUUAUCGGGGUUCGGGACAGUGCCUGGUGGGUAGUUUGACUGGGGCGGUCUCCUCCCAAAGAGUAACGGAGGAGCACGAAGGUUGGCUAAGUACGGUCGGACAUCGUACGGUUAGUGCAAUGGCAUAAGCCAGCUUAACUGCGAGACAUACACGUCGAGCAGGUACGAAAGUAGGUCAUAGUGAUCCGGUGGUUCUGUAUGGAAGGGCCAUCGCUCAACGGAUAAAAGGUACUCCGGGGAUAACAGGCUGAUACCGCCCAAGAGUUCAUAUCGACGGCGGUGUUUGGCACCUCGAUGUCGGCUCAUCACAUCCUGGGGCUGAAGUCGGUCCCAAGGGUAUGGCUGUUCGCCAUUUAAAGUGGUACGCGAGCUGGGUUCAGAACGUCGUGAGACAGUUCGGUCCCUAUCUGCCGUGGGCGUUGGAUGAUUGAAGGAAGCUGCUCCUAGUACGAGAGGACCGGAGUGGACGAACCGCUGGUGUUCGGGUUGUUAUGCCAAUAGCAUUGCCCGGUAGCUACGUUCGGAAUCGAUAACCGCUGAAAGCAUCUAAGCGGGAAGCGAGUCCUAAGAUGAGUCAUCCCUAGGAAUUUAAUUCCUCUAAAGAGCCGUUCGAGACUAGGACGUUGAUAGGCAGGGUGUGUAAGCGUUGUGAGGCGUUGAGCUAACCUGUACUAAUGACUCGUGAGGCUUAACCAU
rnacentral:rRNA from 1 species